GCGGGCGUAGUUCAGUGGUAAAAUGCGAGCUUCCCAAGCUUGAGUUGUGGGUUCGAUUCCCAUCGCCCGCACCA
rnacentral:tRNA from 1 species